GCAACAAGGGCGCAUGCAAAGACGCGCCUGCUCGCCUGCGGGGUUGGCCGCCCUCUUCCCUUCUGCGGGACAGGGGAAUCGAGGGGGGAAACGGCGGCGGCGGCAAAAAGGGAGACGACGCAUGCGGCAUCCAGGUGAACGUUGCGGACGCGAAAAUAACUUCAACCGCAGGGUCGGUUUGCAGAGCCCUGAGGAAAGAUCACAGACACGAGCGCCAGGACAGCCUCUUCGCACAAAGAACCAAGUCCAGGUUGAACGUCGGGCGACAAUCGAGUCUGACGCUUCGCCGGCUUGACGCCCCGACGCACGACCUCCGAAAACGGUACAGGAGACAGCAGAGUGUGUCACGGUCUGUCCCGCAGCACGUCGCCAUUUGAGGCAGUUGACAAAAGGUGUGAUUCAAAAAACCGCGAGUAGAUCCACAAGUCCGCGUUUAAUGCCUCAGCUGAGGACUAGAAAAGAGGAUGGAGACAAAACAGGCACGAGCGCCUAGGAGGACAGGGCGUCUCCGGUCCCGUUCUGGCUGCGCAGGUACCGUCCUCAUAGGUGUCUCCUAGGCGUAGAAGAGAGCCCGUUCAGGGCGGCGCAUUGACGAUGCACAGCCUUCGCUCAUAGAGAAUUAAAAAAAGCAUAUCUGUGAGUAAUACUCACUCGAGCAUCUCCGCAGCCGCGCGUUGGACUCCGGGAGACACGCGCAAACCCGGUCUUCCACAGGUGUCCUUGGCGGCGCCGUCCAUCACGGGCGACAGGAGCGGCGAGUCUUCUCCGUCUUCCGCAGCAGCACCGGGCGAAAGGGACACUGUCGGGAGAGUGUCCCUUUCGCCUCCAGCGUGGCUGUCGCCGGAUGUCUUCCCUCCCCGCGCAGCCGCUGCCGAGGGAGGGACCGGCGGGAAGAAACAGUUUUGAAUCCGCGCGAGAGAAAUGUAGCCCUCGAGGACGCUGUUGACCGCGUAGGGGAAGUCCGUGAUCGGCCCAAUGAAAUUGUCCAGGAGGUGAAUCACCGGGAUCGCCAGCUCCGGCCGAAGAUGGAAUCGCUGAGGAAACGACACAGGAGAACGUGCGACUUGCAAACGAAAUCCAGAGAAACCAAGCAGCCGGCGCGGGCGCCGGAUCAAGAACAGCAAGAUCGAAGAAUCCACGCAGGAGAGCAGCAUCCGGGAAGACAGACCUAACUUUCUGUUUCACGGUGCCGAGGCCCGAAGACGCUUCAUCUUGUGUGUUUUAAUGGCUACAGCUUGCAAGCAAACGUGAACACCUGUCGGAUAGUCGGUCCACCGCCUUAGUUGUCUUCAGCACUCCAGUGGAGCCGCCCUACGGGAUCGCACGCCGUCUCAACAAGAGACUCUUUGAUCUCCUGUGCCGCCACUGAGGAGUUUAUGUGCGUGAAAAUCGAUUUGUGCAAGGGCCUUGCAUGCGCUUCCUGCACGCGUUGGGGGUCAGAGACUCACGGGCAUGUGGAUGACGGGGAGAGUGUAGGCCAUGAACGUCGCCAUGGACAUGGCCAUUGCUGCAACAGGCAUCCACGCAUGCACCACGCGGGUUCCCGGAUAGAUUCAAAGGACGCACACGACCCUUGAGACCCGCGCUCUUCGGAGACGAGAAGUGCCGGUCCUCCGAGCAAGGUGUCGACGUGGCUGUACCCGACGGAGUCGCCUCUCUCGUGAAGAAAGCCAGAUUAUUUACAGAUGUCCACCCCCAGAGCUCGUGUCUGCAUAGCGCUGCGGGUUCCUGCGCACUUUACCAAGCAAGGUGAAUCCCCUGUGGAGGUUCAAAGAGCGUUUUCUCGCGUGGUUCCCUCACACACCUAGACCCAAUGCGGUGCGGGGCUCUCGAGUGUACGGGGCAGUUUUCCAGGGAAGAGAAGUCUUUUCGUGGACCCGCAGACGCCGUCUCCAGCCUCACCUGCUGACGAGCUGAGCCAAGUGGAGACGGCCGAGAUGUACAUGCGGAGAGUCCGCUGGUGCAUCUCGAGGUCUCUGAAUCGUUUGAUGUUGAACUCCGCAAUGUCUUCCCAUCCCAGAAGCCGAAUCGUCCGCAUCGAGGACAGCGCCUCAUGGCUUUUGUCCAGGCGAAUGUCCCGGUAGAGCUGCAGGGGGGAAACGGAGAGAAAGAAACCGCCGUGCUCCCUGCUCGGCCCGAGGGGGUGGGUCGAUGUCCCCACCGUUCCGACGUCUAGACAGAAGACCGGACUCUCAUGCAGCGACGGGAAAGUGCAUCUUCUAGGCGAUAAUACAACGCAGAAAGCAGAAACCGCGUACGGCAAAAAGCACAGGGUGGACUGUACCAGGCUCGCGGCACGACUUGAGAACAUCCGCCGGGGAGGCCGGAAACUCUUCUCUCGAAGUUUCGAAAGGAGAAACCGGCCAGGAAGCGAAGACACGACGGCGUGGCAGAAGCCCUGUCGCACUUACCAUGUACUUUGUUUUCAUAUUGGCGUUCAUGAUUUCCAAAAUUGUCGUCACGGCAGUGAUGAGCAGGACGAUGAUGAGACCCGGUACCUCCGCAGCGGCUCCAAUCUGUUAACGCAUGCAAUCCGCACAAAGUGACAUGUGUGGAACCACUGAAGACGCUCUCGAUCUAGGGAAGAAACAGCCUGAGCAUCGAGUCGUGGGCGAGAGGGAGUGUAGGGCAGAACGGCGGGCGCCGACUCUGUUUCGGCGUGCACACAAAGCGGAAAAUGCACACUUCAUUUUGUACGUCGCUUGACCAGCAAGAAGCGAGGAACUUUCGCUCUGUUGCGCCUCUAGACGGCGACGGUGGAGGUCAUCUGACUGGAAACGCGCCGAGUCCUGUAACCACGCAGCUUCAACUACGAAGAGACACCGACCGCCCCACGAGGUUCCCUCCAUAUAUGUUCUCCAAAACGCUAAGUCAAGAGAUCCGGUGAGAGUCGCGUUCGACGAGAAAAGAGGCGUGCCUUGUUUCUUGGUAUAGCAAAGCAGCCAUGUAAAUUUUAGAGGACCAUCCACUGCGGUAGAAUAAGCAGUGGACAGCGAGCGAUUUGCCUCGAGAAAGGCGACGAGAGAGCGGGUUGUCUGUUCGCAAGGCUCACCUGCAUGUAGAGCAUGCCUGCGGCGAAUCCGAUGCGCACGGGCAUCAUGACGACAUCGACGAAGGUGAAGACGAGAGACGCGAGAGAAGGAAUAUCGACAAACAUGAGGUUGAAGACAUUGCCUUGGAAUCCCCGCGUCUUUUCCCCUGCUUUCCGCUUUACCUCCCUCGUGGAGUCGGCCUCUUCUCUCGUGCAGCCGACUCCGUCAUUCUGCGCCGCAAGUUCGAGUGCGUCCUCAUGGUAGGCCUCCCUGAGAAUGAGCGCGGGCGGCGCCGCAGCAUCGGGCUGAAUCACCUUCUUGAACAGAGACGUGAGAAGGCACAUUUCUACGCGCAUGUAAACCCGGCACGUGUAGAAGUCUAUCGACGUGUCGACGAAGAUCUGGAGGAGCUGGACGAGAGAGAUCAGUGACCCCAUAACCACCGCUGCAAAAGGCACACAAGAGGCAAACAACCAGAUGAAGUCCCACACGCCAUAGGCACCCACACGUACAUCUAGCAGCGACAAGCGCGCAGGCGAAGCAAAAGCGCGGCGCGUGGCGGGUUAGGUCGGCCCUCAGAGAACACCUCCCUGCAGCCGGAAUCAAGUCCCUGUUCGUAUUGUGAUGUCCUUUGCUUCUUCCCACAUACUUCAUUGUCUUGUGUCACCGUGCUUCUGAGGUGUUGUGCUCUCUCGUUAUCCUUCCGCUGGUGCCCGUGUUUCCGUCAGAAACCGGUAGGGCGGCGGCUGUGCCGGCGAGGAACCUCGCGUUUGUGCAUGUGUAUGGCACCUAGACACUUCGACACAGGUUCUACGAACACCGAAAAAGUGUGAGGUUCCUCCCGUGUGGGCUCCUAACACGCAU
rnacentral:lncRNA from 1 species